rnacentral:rRNA from 1 species
UACGGAGGGUGCAAGCGUUAUCCGGAUUCACUGGGUUUAAAGGGUGCGUAGGUGGGCUAGUAAGUCAGUGGUGAAAUCUCCGGGCUUAACCCGGAAACUGCCAUUGAUACUGUUAGGCUUGAGUACUAAUGAGGUAGGCGGAAUUGGUAGUGUAGCGGUGAAAUGCAUAGAUAUUAUCAAGAACACCGAUUGCGAAGGCAGCUUACUAGACUUAUACUGACGCUGAGGCACGAAAGCGUGGGGAGCAAACAGG